AACGAACGCUGGCGGCAUGCCUAAUACAUGCAAGUCGAACGAGAUCUUCGGAUCUAGUGGCGCACGGGUGCGUAACGCGUGGGAAUCUGCCCUUGGGUUCGGAAUAACUUCUGGAAACGGAGGCUAAUACCGGAUGAUGACGUAAGUCCAAAGAUUUAUCGCCCAAGGAUGAGCCCGCGUAGGAUUAGGUAGUUGGUGAGGUAAAGGCUCACCAAGCCGACGAUCCUUAGCUGGUCUGAGAGGAUGAUCAGCCACACUGGGACUGAGACACGGCCCAGACUCCUACGGGAGGCAGCAGUAGGGAAUAUUGGACAAUGGGCGAAAGCCUGAUCCAGCAAUGCCGCGUGAGUGAUGAAGGCCUUAGGGUUGUAAAGCUCUUUUACCCGGGAUGAUAAUGACAGUACCGGGAGAAUAAGCUCCGGCUAACUCCGUG
rnacentral:rRNA from 1 species